rnacentral:rRNA from 1 species
UAGGGAAUCUUCGGCAAUGGACGAAAGUCUGACCGAGCAACGCCGCGUGAGUGAAGAAGGUUUUCGGAUCGUAAAACUCUGUUGGUAGAGAAGAACGUUGGUGAGAGUGGAAAGCUCAUCAAGUGACGGUAACUACCCAGAAAGGGACGGCUAACUACGUGCCAGCAGCCGCGGUAAUACGUAGGUCCCGAGCGUUGUCCGGAUUUAUUGGGCGUAAAGCGAGCGCAGGUGGUUUAUUAAGUCUGGUGUAAAAGGCAGUGGCUCAACCAUUGUAUGCAUUGGAAACUGGUAGACUUGAGUGCAGGAGAGGAGAGUGGAAUUCCAUGUGUAGCGGUGAAAUGCGUAGAUAUAUGGAGGAACACCGGUGGCGAAAGCGGCUCUCUGGCCUGUAACUGACACUGAGGCUCGAAAGCGUGGGGAGCAAACAGGAUUAGAUACCCCAGUAGUCCCUGAGCGGGCUGGCAAGGCGCAU